AGAGGUUCAAUCAUGGCUCAGAUUGAACUGGCUGGCGAGAUCACUUUAGCCACCGAGUGUCGAACUUGCGCCCCGCUUCUGGACUUCGGUCUGGUGGCGAGUGGCGAACGGGUGAGUAAUGUAGCGGAACGUACCUAGUAGCGGGGAUAACUACGCGAAAGCGUAGCUAAUACCGCAUACGCCCUUCGAGGAAAGCGGGGACCUUCGGGCCUCGCACUAUUAGAGCGGCCGAUAUCGGAUUGGCUAAUGAUUGGUGGGGUAACGGUUCACCAAGGCGACGAUCAUGCGCUGGUUUGAAGACGACCAGCCACACUGGGACAGGGCUGGCGGCCCGAACUCCUAUUUACAGGAGGCAGCGAUUGAAAUUUUUGGACAAUGAAACCUGAUCCAGCCAUCCCGCGUGUGCGAUGAAGGCCUUCAGGUUAUCAACACUUUUGGCAGGAAAGAAACGGCGCAGGAUAAUACCCGUGCAACUGACGGUACCUGCAGAAUAAGCACCGGCUAACGUACUGGCAGCCGCGGUAAUACGUAAGUGCAAGCGUAAUCGGAAUUACUGGGCGUAAAGCGUGCGCACAGGCAGGUUCGGAAAAGAAAGAUGUGAAAUCCCAGAGCUUAACUUUGGAACUGCAUUUUUAACUACCGAGCUAGAGUGUGUCAGAGGAGUGCAAUUCCGCGUGCAGCGGUAAAUAAGCGAAUAUGCGGAGGAACACCGAUGGCGAAAAACAACCCUGGGAUAACUUACUGACGCUCAUGCACAGCGUAAGGGCAAACCUGCAGGACCUGAAUGCCCUGUAGUCCACGCCUAAACGAUCAUCAACUAGCUGUUGGGGCCUUCGAGCCUUGGUACUUACCAAGCGCUAACGCCGUCGAGAGAUUGACCGCCUAAGUGGUCGCAAAAUUCAAACUCAAAGGAAUUGACGGGGACCCACUGCGGCGGUGGAUAGUGUUAGUUAAUUCGAUGCAACGCACGAAGCCCCUACCCUUCGGCAUGUCUGGAAUCCCGAGAGAUUUGGGAGUGCUCGCAGAAACCGAACCGUGCUGCGGCUGUCGUCAGCUCGUGUCGUGAGAUGUUGGAGGUUCUAGUCCGCAACGAGCGCAACCCUUGUCGUGGAUGGUGCCUACGAAAGAAGGCCUCUAAUGAGACUGCCGAUGACAAACAGGGGAAGGUGGGGAUGACGUCAAGUCCUCAUGGCCCAUAUGGGUAGGGCUUCCACGUCAUACAAUGGUCGGGACAGAGGGUCGCCAACCGCGAGGGGGAGCCAAUCCCAGAAACCCGAUCUCGUAGUCCGGAUCGCAGUCUGCAACUCGACUGCGUAAAGUCGGAAUCGCUAGUAAUCCGGAUCAGCAUGUCAUGAUGGGCCCGUUCCCGGGUCUUGGCCACCGCCCAAUCACACCAUGGGAAUGGGUUUACCAGUAGUUAGCCUAACAGCAGGAGGGCGAUUACCCUGAUACGAUUCGCGAGCUGGGAGUGAAGUCAUGUGCUAAAAUUAA
rnacentral:rRNA from 1 species